AGAGAUGUCGUUUCCCUUGUGGCCUGUGUGCAGGUGGUGCAUGGCUGUCGUCAGCUCGUGUCGUGAGAUGUUGGGUUAAGUCCCGCAACGAGGCGCAACCCUUGUCUCAUGUUGCCAGCACGUAAUGGUGGGGACUCGUGAGAGACUGCCGGGGUCAACUCGGAGGAAGGUGGGGAUGACGUCAAGUCAUCAUGCCCCUUAUGUCCAGGGCUUCACACAUGCUACAAUGGCCGGUACAAAGGGCUGCGAAGCCGCGAGGUGGAGCGAAUCCUUUAAAGCCGGUCUCAGUUCGGAUCGGGGUCUGCAACUCGACCCCGUGAAGUUGGAGUCGCUAGUAAUCGCAGAUCAGCAACGCUGCGGUGAAUACGUUCCCGGGCCUUGUACACACCGCCCGUCACGUC
rnacentral:rRNA from 1 species